rnacentral:misc_RNA from 1 species
GAUGAAGAACGUAGCGAAAUGCGAUAAGUAAUGUGAAUUGCAGAAUUCAGUGAAUCAUCGAACCUUUGAACGCACAUUGCGCCCGCCAGUAUUCUGGCGGGCAUGCCUGUUCGAGCGUCAUUACAACCCUCAGGCCCCCGGGCCUGGCGUUGGGGAUCGGCGGAGCCCCCCGUGGGCACACGCCGUCCCCCAAAUGCAGUGGCGGUCCCGCCGCAGCUUCCAUCGCGUAGUAGCUAACACCUCGCGACUGGAGAGCGGCGCGGCCACGCCGUAAAACACCCAACUCUUCUGAAGUUGACCUCGAAUCAGGUAGGAAUACCCGCUGAACUUAAGCAUAUCAAUAAGCGGAGGA